UGACCUGCGGAGGGAUCAUUACCGAGUUUUCAACUCCCAAACCCUUAUGUGAACCUACCUAUCGUUGCUUCGGCGGACUCGCCCCAGCCGGACGCGGACUGGACCAGCGGCCGCCGGGGACCAUCAAACUCUUGUAUUAUCAGCAUCUUCUGAAUACGCCGCAAGGCAAAACAAAUAAAUUAAAACUUUCAACAACGGAUCUCUUGGCUCUGGCAUCGAUGAAGAACGCAGCGAAAUGCGAUAAGUAAUGUGAAUUGCAGAAUCCAGUGAAUCAUCGAAUCUUUGAACGCACAUUGCGCCCGCCAGCAUUCUGGCGGGCAUGCCUGUUCGAGCGUCAUUUCAACCCUCGACCUCCCUUUGGGGAAGUCGGCGUUGGGGACCGGCAGCACACCGCCGGCCCUGAAAUGGAGUGGCGGCCCGUCCGCGGCGACCUCUGCGUAGUAAACCAACUCGCACCGGAACCCCGACGUGGCCACGCCGUAAAACACCCAACUUCUGAACGUUGACCUCGAAUCAGGUAGGACUACCCGCUGAACUUAAGCAUAUCAAUAA
rnacentral:rRNA from 1 species